GUCCUUAUGCACAAGACUGACUUGCUGCCAGGCUGCGAAACACGGUGUAUCCAGCCUUUCUGGACCCCCACCCCUCCUUGUCGUCUGUGUGCUGUGGGUGCUGUGCUGUAGCUCCAACAAAAAUAGAGAUUAAAAAGAAAAAAAAAAAAACUGGACUUUCCAAAACUGGGAAAGCAGGAA